rnacentral:rRNA from 1 species
AGUCGAGCGAACAGACGAGGAGCUUGCUCCUCUGACGUUAGCGGCGGACGGGUGAGUAACACGUGGAUAACCUACCUAUAAGACUGGGAUAACUUCGGGAAACCGGAGCUAAUACCGGAUAAUAUAUUGAACCGCAUGGAUCAAUAGUGAAAGACGGUUUUGCUGUCACUUAUAGAUGGAUCCGCGCCGCAUUAGCUAGUUGGUAAGGUAACGGCUUACCAAGGCAACGAUGCGUAGCCGACCUGAGAGGGUGAUCGGCCACACUGGAACUGAGACACGGUCCAGACUCCUACGGGAGGCAGCAGUAGGGAAUCUUCCGCAAUGGGCGAAAGCCUGACGGAGCAACGCCGCGUGAGUGAUGAAGGUCUUCGGAUCGUAAAACUCUGUUAUUAGGGAAGAACAAAUGUGUAAGUAACUAUGCACGUCUUGACGGUACCUAAUCAGAAAGCCACGGCUAACUACGUGCCAGCAGCCGCGGUAAUACGUAGGUGGCAAGCGUUAUCCGGAAUUAUUGGGCGUAAAGCGCGCGUAGGCGGUUUUUUAAGUCUGAUGUGAAAGCCCACGGCUCAACCGUGGAGGGUCAUUGGAAACUGGAAAACUUGAGUGCAGAAGAGGAAAGUGGAAUUCCAUGUGUAGCGGUGAAAUGCGCAGAGAUAUGGAGGAACACCAGUGGCGAAGGCGACUUUCUGGUCUGUAACUGACGCUGAUGUGCGAAAGCGUGGGGAUCAAACAGGAUUA